GCGUUGGGAGCUCUCCCAUAUGGUCGACCUGCAGGCGGCCGCGAAUUCACUAGUGAUUCGUAUUACCGCGGCUGCUGGCACAUGGUUAGCCGUGGCUUUCUGGUAAGGUACCGUCAGACUCAGAGCAUUUCCUCUCCAAGCUUUUCUUCCCUUACAACAGAGCUUUACAAUCCUAAGACCUUCAUCACUCACGCGGCAUUGCUUCAUCAGACUUUCGUCCAUUGUGAAAAAUUCCCUACUGCUGCCUCCCGUAGGAGUCUGGGCCGUAUCUCAGUCCCAAUGUGGCCGAUCAACCUCUCAGUUCGGCUACGUAUCAUUGCCUAGGUGGGCCAUUACCCCACCUACUAGCUAAUACGCCGCAUCCCCAUCUUUCAGUGCACCAAACGGUGCUUUCAACUUCUUCUGAUGCCAUAAUGAAGUUCUUAUGCGGUAUUACCCUUCGUUUCCAAAGGCUAUCCCCCGCUAAAAGGUAGGUUAGAUACGUGUUACUCACCCGUUCGCCACUAGAGUGCAAGCACUCCCGUUCGACUUGCAUGUAUUAGGCAUGCUGCCAGCGUUUAUCCUGAGCCAUGAUCAAACUCUAAUCGAAUUCCCGCGGCCGCCAUGGCGGCCGGGAGCAUGCGACGUCGGGCCCAA
rnacentral:rRNA from 1 species